AGUAACGCGUGGGAAUCUACCGUACCCUACGGAAUAGCUCCGGGAAACUGGAAUUAAUACCGUAUACGCCCUUUGGGGGAAAGAUUUAUCGGGGUAUGAUGAGCCCGCGUUGGAUUAGCUAGUUGGUGGGGUAAAGGCCUACCAAGGCGACGAUCCAUAGCUGGUCUGAGAGGAUGAUCAGCCACAUUGGGACUGAGACACGGCCCAAACUCCUACGGGAGGCAGCAGUGGGGAAUAUUGGACAAUGGGCGCAAGCCUGAUCCAGCCAUGCCGCGUGAGUGAUGAAGGUCUUAGGAUUGUAAAGCUCUUUCACCGAUGAAGAUAAUGACGGUAGUCGGAGAAGAAGCCCCGGCUAACUUCGUGCCAGCAGCCGCGGUAAUACGAAGGGGGCUAGCGUUGUUCGGAAUUACUGGGCGUAAAGCGCACGUAGGCGGAUAAUUAAGUCAGGGGUGAAAUCCCGCAGCUCAACUGCGGAACUGCCUUUGAUACUGGUUAUCUUGAGUAUGGAAG
rnacentral:rRNA from 1 species